rnacentral:rRNA from 1 species
AGAGUUUGAUCAUGGCUCAGAUUGAACGCUGGCGGCAGGCCUUACACAUGCAAGUCGAACGGCAGCACGGGGGCAACCCUGGUGGCGAGUGGCGAACGGGUGAGUAACACAUCGGAACGUACCCUAUCGUGGGGGAUAACCAGUCGAAAGAUUGGCUAAUACCGCAUGACCUGGAGACAGUAAAGCGGGGGACCGGCAACGGCCUCGCGCGAUUGGAGCGGCCGAUGUCCGAUUAGCUAGUUGGUGGGGUAAAGGCUCACCCAAGGCGACGAUCGGUAGCUGGUCUGAGAGGAUGAUCAGCCACACUGGGACUGAGACACGGCCCAGACUCCUACGGGAGGCAGCAGUGGGGAAUUUUGGACAAUGGGGGCAACCCUGAUCCAGCCAUGCCGCGUGAGUGAAGAAGGCCUUCGGGUUGUAAAGCUCUUUCGGUAGGAACGAAACGGUUACGGUCAAUACCCGUGACUACUGACGGUACUUACAGAAGAAGCACCGGCUAACUACGUGCCAGCAGCCGCGGUAAUACGUAGGGUGCGAGCGUUAAUCGGAAUUACUGGGCGUAAAGCGUGCGCAGGCGGUCUCGUAAGCUGGGUGUGAAAGCCCCGGGCUUAACCUGGGAAUGGCAUUCAGGACUGCGAGGCUCGAGUGUGGCAGAGGGAGGUGGAAUUCCCGUGUAGCAGUGAAAUGCGUAGAGAUGUGGAGGAACACCGAUGGCGAAGGCAGCCUCCUGGGCCAGCACUGACGCUCAAGCACGAAAGCGUGGGGAGCAAACAGGAUUAGAUACCCUAGUAGUCC